rnacentral:rRNA from 1 species
GUUUGAUCCUGGCUCAGGAUGAACGCUAGCUACAGGCUUAACACAUGCAAGUCGAGCGAAGCACCUAAGAAAGAUUCUUCGGAUGAAUUCUUUUGUGACUGAGCGGCGGACGGGUGAGUAACGCGUGGGUAACCUGCCUCAUACAGGGGGAUAACAGUUAGAAAUGACUGCUAAUACCGCAUAAGACCACGGUACCGCAUGGUACAGUGGUAAAAACUCCGGUGGUAUGAGAUGGACCCGCGUCUGAUUAGCUAGUUGGUGGGGUAACGGCCUACCAAGGCGACGAUCAGUAGCCGACCUGAGAGAGUGACCGGCCACAUUGGGACUGAGACACGGCCCAAACUCCUACGGGAGGCAGCAGUGGGGAAUAUUGCACAAUGGGGGAAACCCUGAUGCAGCGACGCCGCGUGAAGGAUGAAGUAUUUCGGUAUGUAAACUUCUAUCAGCAGGGAAGAAAAUGACGGUACCUGACUAAGAAGCCCCGGCUAACUACGUGCCAGCAGCCGCGGUAAUACGUAGGGGGCAAGCGUUAUCCGGAUUUACUGGGUGUAAAGGGAGCGUAGACGGCAUUGCAAGCCAGAUGUGAAAGCCCGGGGCUCAACCCCGGGACUGCAUUUGGAACUGUAGAGCUAGAGUGUCGGAGAGGCAAGUGGAAUUCCUAGUGUAGCGGUGAAAUGCGUAGAUAUUAGGAGGAACACCAGUGGCGAAGGCGGCUUGCUGGACGAUGACUGACGUUGAGGCUCGAAAGCGUGGGGAGCAAACAGGAUUAGAUACCCUGGUAGUCCACGCCGUAAACGAUGACUACUAGGUGUCGGGUAGCAAAGCUAUUCGGUGCCGCAGCAAACGCAAUAAGUAGUCCACCUGGGGAGUACGUUCGCA